CUGGGGAUCCAUUUGCAUUAUUUGUCUGCUUAGCUGUUUAUAUGUCUCAUUUAGUCCAUUCAGGAACUUUAUGAGUCUUUCUUCUUGUAUCACUUCUACACUUUUUCUGCUCAUGUCGUAUUCAUUCCAUAGUUUUGUCAGUUUUGUGUAGUAGUUGCAGACUGAAUCUUCUCCUUGUGUGAGAUUCAUGAUUUUUACUUGUAACUGGAAAACUAGUGGUCCAUUUUGUAUAUGGAAUCUUGCUUUCAACUCCUUCCAUAGCAAAUGUGCUGAUUU
rnacentral:lncRNA from 1 species